rnacentral:miRNA from 1 species
AUGAUACAUCUAGUGCAACGGU